rnacentral:ncRNA from 1 species
AAAAAUGAGAGUUUGAUCCUGGCUCAGGACGAACGCUGGCGGCGUGCCUAAUACAUGCAAGUCGAGCGAGCUGAACCAGCAGAUUCACUUCGGUGAUGACGCUGGGAACGCGAGCGGCGGAUGGGUGAGUAACACGUGGGUAACCUGCCCUAAAGUCUGGGAUACCACUUGGAAACAGGUGCUAAUACCGGAUAACAACAAUAGCUGCAUGGCUAUUGCUUAAAAGGCGGCGAAAGCUGUCGCUAAAGGAUGGACCCGCGGUGCAUUAGCUAGUUGGUAAGGUAAUGGCUUACCAAGGCGACGAUGCAUAGCCGAGUUGAGAGACUGAUCGGCCACAUUGGGACUGAGACACGGCCCAAACUCCUACGGGAGGCAGCAGUAGGGAAUCUUCCACAAUGGGCGAAAGCCUGAUGGAGCAACGCCGCGUGAGUGAAGAAGGUUUUCGGAUCGUAAAGCUCUGUUGUUGGUGAAGAAGGAUAGAGGUAGUAACUGGCCCCUAUUUGACGGUAAUCAACCAGAAAGUCACGGCUAACUACGUGCCAGCAGCCGCGGUAAUACGUAGGUGGCAAGCGUUGUCCGGAUUUAUUGGGCGUAAAGCGAGCGCAGGCGGAAAGAUAAGUCUGAUGUGAAAGCCCCCGGCUUAACCGAGGAAUUGCAUCGGAAACUGUGUUUCUUGAGUGCAGAAGAGGAGAGUGGAACUCCAUGUGUAGCGGUGGAAUGCGUAGAUAUAUGGAAGAACACCAGUGGCGAAGGCGGCUCUCUGGUCUGUAACUGACGCUGAGGCUCGAAAGCAUGGGUAGCGAACAGGAUUAGAUACCCUGGUAGUCCAUGCCGUAAACGAUGAGUGCUAAGUGUUGGGAGGUUUCCGCCUCUCAGUGCUGCAGCUAACGCAUUAAGCACUCCGCCUGGGGAGUACGACCGCAAGGUUGAAACUCAAAGGAAUUGACGGGGGCCCGCACAAGCGGUGGAGCAUGUGGUUUAAUUCGAAGCAACGCGAAGAACCUUACCAGGUCUUGACAUCUAGUGCCAUCCUAAGAGAUUAGGAGUUCCCUUCGGGGACACUAAGACAGGUGGUGCAUGGCUGUCGUCAGCUCGUGUCGUGAGAUGUUGGGUUAAGUCCCGCAACGAGCGCAACCCUUG